GAAAAGAAAGCAAAAGCGAUUUCCCAAGUAACGGCGAGUGAACAGGAAUAAGCCUAGCGCUAAGGCUCAAUAGGAUGGUUGGCAGCAAUGUUGAUCGUCGUUUUCGACAAGCUAUUGAGCGGUGCAGCGUUACAAACCGCGAUGUUUAGUGGUGCCAUUGGUAGUAAGUUGAAAGAUUUGCUACUCCUAGCCUAGCAUGCAAGUUCCAUUGACUUGGACUAAUUGCAAAUGACUACUUAGUUGGGGCAACUUGAUUGAGUGGUUGAGCCAGAGUGGGUGAAAGCCCUAUACCGUGCAGGCAUUGGCAUUACGAAUUGCGGAUGGGCCGCAAGGUUCAACUUUGUUAGAGUCGAGUUGCUUGAGAGUGCAACUUAAAGUGCGAGGUAAACUACUCGUAAGGCUACGCAAUACGGCUACGACACCGAUAGCAAACAAGUACCGUGAGGGAAAGUUGAAAUAGAACUUUGCAGAGAGAGUUAACAGGGCGUGAAACCGUUAAUUGGCAAACGAAUCGGAGCCACGAAGUCGUUUCGCUGAUAAGUUGGGCCAAGUUCAGCUCAGGAGAAAUCUUGGGUGUAUUCUUGUCAGUCCAACCAUCAUUGUAAGCGUACACUGCAACCAGUUAGACGAUUGGAGGUGGGCUCAGUUUGCCGGUGAUGGGGCAACUCAAAGCCGGUAGGCGAAGUACUUGUUUACCCGGGUUAGUAGUAGCAUGUUUGUACCUCGGUGCCGAUGUGCUGCUGGGCCUGUGGUGAGUGAACUAUUUCCAAAUACUGACUGGCAAAAUGAAAAUCGCCUUGUGCGUUGCAUAGAAGGCAGCAGUUUGCAUUAGUGUCUACAUCAUUGACCAUGGGGUUUUAAGCUCAGCAUCUUCGAAUUUGGACUUGCUGGCUACCAAUGGGGCAACUCUUGGUGCCAGUAUAGCUUUCAUCUAAUCAGGUGUUGACUUGAUCCUGUGUCGUUCGGUGGUGCUACGAUCGGGCGGUAAUGUAAGAUUGUUUGCCAUAGAU
rnacentral:rRNA from 1 species